GAUGGAGGUGGUGGUGAAGUGGUGAAAGUGGUGGUGGAGAAAGUGGUGAAAUUGGUGGUGGUAGUGGUGGUGGUGAAAGUGGUGGUGGUGGUGGUAGUGGUGAUGAUGGAGGUGGUGAUGGAGGUGGUGGUGGUGAUGGUAGUGGUGGUGAUGGAGGUGGUGGUGGUGGUGGUGAAAGUGCUGGUGAAAGUGGUGGUGGAGGAGAAAGUGGUGAAAGUGGUGGUGGUAGUGGUGGUGGUGAUGAUGGUGAAAGUCAUGGUGGUGAAAGUGGUGAAGGUGGUGGUGAUGGAGGUGUUGAUGGAGGUGGUGGUGGUGGUAGUGGUGGUGUUGGAGGUGGUGGUGAAAGUGAUGGUGGUGGAGAAAGUGCUGAAAGUGGUGGUGGUAGUGGUGGUGGUGGAGGUGGUGGUGGUGGUGGUGAUGGUGGUGGUUGUGAAAGUGGUGAUGGUGGUGGUAGUGGUGGUGAUGGAGGUGGUGAUAGAGGUGGUGGUGGUAGUGGUGGUAUUGGUGGUAGUGGUGGUGGUGAAAGUGGUAGUGGUGAUGAUGGAGGUGGUGAUGGUGGUGGUAGUGGUGGUGAUGGAUGUGGUGGUGGUGGUGAAAAUGGUGGUGGUGGAGAAAGGUGUGAAAGUGGUGGUGGUAGUGGUGAAAGUGGUGAUGGUGGUGGUUGUGAAAGUGGUGAUGGCGGUGGUGGUUGUGAAAGUGGUGAUCUCUACAUCACUGUAGAGAUCUACAUACAGUGAUGGUGGUGGUGGUGAAAGUGGUGGUGGAGGUGGUGGAGGUGGUGGUGAAAGUGGUGGUGAUGGAGGUGGUGGUGGUGGUGGAGGUGGUGGUGGUGAACGUGGUGGUGAUGGAGGUGGUGAUGAUGGUGGUGGUAGUGGUGGUGAUGAUGAAAGUGGUGGUGGUGGUGAAACUGGUGGUGGUGGUG
ensembl:lncRNA